CCAAACAUCUAGCUUGCCUUAUAUUUCUACUACUACCACUUAAAUAAAACAUUUUUAUCUUUUAGUAAGGGUGACUAAAAAAUUUCCAUACGCUUUAGAUCAGUACCGAAAGGGAAUGAUGAAAUAAUAAUGAAAUAUUCCCUAAGCCACUUACAGCUAAGAUUAAUACUUGUACCUUUUGCAUCAUGGUUGAGCAAGUCUGAUUAAGCAAAAAGCAAUCUUUAGUUUAAUUUCCCGAAACUGGGUGAGCUACUAUAGAACAGUCAUUUGGACAAACCCGUCUCUGUUGCAAAAGAGUGGGAAGAUUUUCUAGUAGCAGUGAAAAGCUAAUCGGACCCAGAGAUAGCUGGUUAUUCAAGAAAAGAAUUUUAGUUCUGCCUUAAAUUUAAACAUCACCACAAAUAAAAUAUUAAAUUUAAGAGUUAGUCAACCAAGGUACAGCUUAUUUGACCCAGGACACAACCUUUUAUAUAGGGUAACAUUUUUAAACUCACAAGUAGGCCCAAAAGCAGCC
rnacentral:rRNA from 1 species